rnacentral:lncRNA from 1 species
CCAUUCACAAGGUCUGGGUCCAUCCAUGAAAUCGCUCCCCUCUCGCCGCCGGUGGCAAGGGCCUCGGACGUUUCAAAGAACGUGAUUCCUGACCUGUGUCAUCCAACAAAAUCAUUGCAAACAUGGAAGAGCGACGGGCUUAGCCUAAAGCAUCUGAAACUGAAAGCCAUUUUGAUAGCAAGAGCAGGUAGGUCUAAUUUGCGGACAAUUGAUUUGGAUGAGCAAUUUAUGUUCCUGCCAACACUACCAACAAGCAGGAAACGGCAGUUGCUUAAAAAGGCAGGCACUUACUAGUAGUGUUUACUCCUCGACAGAAACAGAACUGACGGCUGAACACUACACAUCACAUUCAUCCGCAUAAACAGCCUGCGAAAGAACAACUCACAUGCUGGAGCGGUACAAGCUUCAGGUCUCCAAGCAGACAACUUUCAGGAGGAGGACGUCCGGCCAGGCUAGUUUGUCUCAGGGCAGCAACAAACAGCCCCUUGAGUCCUUGACCC